ACCACUACAACCCAGCCAAUGAGACCACCACAACUCAGCCAAUGAAAAGUUGCCACACCCCCAAACCCUCCCUUUCCUCCAAUGGACUUUCAUUUCAAACAGCCCCUUCCAGCUCCCUUCUUUUAUCUUUAAAGGUGAGGAUACUGAAGUUCUAUGAAAUAGAAUUGCUUGCCAAUAUCCAGAGCUAAUUAGGGCAGAUCGGGACCAGAAACCAGAUCUCCUGACUCAGAUAUGGUUAUAUUUCCAUCUGCUUCAUUUUACAUAUACAGAAGCCAAAGUUGGAGACUGAAUGCCCAUGGUCACACAGAUCUGUCUCCUCCCCAACACGGUGCAACCAGAGGGCUGAGACCCAUAUCUGAUUCCUCUCCAAUCCCCAACAUUCAAUAAAUUUUUGUUGAGUUCACAAAGGCAGCCACCUGGAGAAGCUUGGGAUACACCAGAGUAACAAAGCCAUGAUUUGGAAUGUUCCUGCUCCUUCUCCAUAGGCAGCUACAGAUCCCUGAGCGCAUUCACCUGACUUUCUUCAGCAAGAGCAACCAACUCAAAGACAUCUUUGUGCACUAAGAAAGGAUGCCCUGUGUGGAAAGAGUCAAAAGUCACAGGGAUCCGCACCUGGUGGGCUAGGAGGCAAGAAGAAAAGCUCCAUCCUCUUAAUUAAGAAAUAGAAUGCAAUGUUACAGGAAGAGUAAGGUCUCUGAAGCCAUGAGGCCCUCAAUUCCCAUCUCUCACAUGACACUUCAAAAACUUUGGUAAAGUCACUUAACUUUGA